UACGUAGGGGGCAAGCGUUGUCCGGAAUCAUUGGGCGUAAAGCGCGUGUAGGCGGCUUGAUAAGUCUGCUCUGAAAGCCCGGGGCUCAACCCUGGGAGGCGGGUGGAUACUGUCGAGCUCGAGUCCGGAAGAGGCGAGUGGAAUUCCUGGUGUAGCGGUGAAAUGCGCAGAUAUCAGGAGGAACACCAAUGGCGAAGGCAGCUCGCUGGGACGGUACUGACGCUGAGACGCGAAGCGUGGGGAGCAAACAGG
rnacentral:rRNA from 1 species